UUCAGCGUCUCCUUCCAAUUAUUCCCAAGGGGAGAACUGACUUAAAAACUGAAUUGAUAUUCGAGUAGCAAGUCUGAAGGUGUGGGAUGAAAUGGCCAAAGAGUCCAAAUGCGCAGCUCUUAUUCAUGUUGUUGUCUAUGGCAUAUUAUUAUUAUUAAGACAUAUAAGAUGAGCAAUUCUUGAAUAUCUCCGUUCUCCUAUCAUCACUUCUAACUUUAUAAUUAAUCAAUGUGACGCC
rnacentral:misc_RNA from 1 species